rnacentral:lncRNA from 1 species
AAGGCCUCAUAAGAUGCAAAGGCCUGAUCAUGUAGAUAAAGUUCUAAUUGUGAGUUAUGUAUUGAUUGAAUUUUAGUUAGAGAUAUAAAUUGAAUUUGAGGACUACAAGCUUAGUUAUCUGAGUAGGCCAAUGUAGAUCCUAUGUGGAAUACUUAAAUUCUGCAGUUAGGGAGGUGUUCUGCACUUGCUUGUAGUUUAACAACUAGCAGUACAACCAGUGCAAGUUUAUAUUUAUGCAUUUUAACUUGUCGUGCAAGUUUUGCUUCUAGUGGGUGUACUUUAGCUUUUUGCCUUUAACGUAGAGUUUGCUAACCAAUCUAUAUUUUCUGUAAUUCAUGCAAUUUAUAUUUCUGAAGUGCCAGUUCUACUACCUUUGUUGUCUAUGUAGUGCAAGUUUAUGUGUCUGAAGAUGCAAAUGUAGUUGUUCAUUUAGUACCUUGCUGUUGUAAAAUGUGCACAACUUUUAGCAUGAUGAAAGUGCAAUUUUAGUAUUUUUAGUAUGCAAGUUUACCAUGUCAUAUAAGUGUGUGCGUGUUCCACUUUUUUUCAUACCAUUUCAUGUUUGCUUGCUGUUGUUCCAGUAAACAUUGUGUUUCAUUUUUGAGUUUCGAUUCCUGCAUGCAUCUCCCCCUAGUGACAUACUUAUAGUAAACACUAAAUUACGAAAAACACCAAGUUAAUAUGAGUUUUGAUGUAGUAAAAUGUGUGCAAGUUUAGUUUGAUGGAUGUGCAAUUUUAGUAUUUUCAGCAUUCAGGUUUAGUUUUGAAUUCUCUUUAUCAAACUUUACUAGGUUGAUUUUAUGCAAGCUGCUUUUGACAAGUUAUUUUACUGCAUCUAGGAGGAAGGAAGGAAGCUUGAUUUUAGUCAAGUUGAGAAGCAACUCGAGUCUGUUUCCGAACUUAUGAAAAAGCUUAUUCCACCAAAGUCCACCCCGAUCAGCGAAUCUAUUGACAAGGGAAAAAGCAUGAGUUUCAAGCAUCUUGUGAAUACAGAUCCUCCAGUUCGA